GAGUUUGAUCCUGGCUCAGGACGAACGCUGGCGGUAUGCUUAACACAUGCAAGUCGAACGAGAAGGAAGAGCUUGCUCUUCCUGAAAGUGGCGAACGGGUGAGUAACGCGUGGGUAACCUACCCUUUGGAAAGGAAUAGCCUCGGGAAACUGGGAGUAAUGCCUUAUAAGAUACGUUUGUCGCAUGGCAUUUGUAUUAAACGCUCCGGCGCCAUAGGAUGGACCCGCGUCCCAUUAGCUAGUUGGUGAGAUAACAGCUCACCAAGGCCACGAUGGGUAACCGGUCUGAGAGGGCGAACGGUCACACUGGAACUGAGACACGGUCCAGACUCCUACGGGAGGCAGCAGUGGGGAAUAUUGCGCAAUGGGGGCAACCCUGACGCAGCAAUACCGCGUGAGUGAAGAAGGUUUUCGGAUCGUAAAGCUCUGUUAUUGGGGAAGAAAAAAAGACGGUACCCAAGAAGAAAGUUCCGGCUAACUACGUGCCAGCAGCCGCGGUAAUACGUAGGGAACAAGCGUUGUCCGGAUUUACUGGGCGUAAAGGGCACGCAGGCGGUUUUUUAAGUCAGAUGUGAAAGGCCACAGCUCAACUGUGGACAUGCAUUUGAAACUGAAAGACUUGAGUAUUGGAGAGGCAAGUGGAAUUCCUAGUGUAGCGGUGAAAUGCGUAGAUAUUAGGAGGAACACCGGUGGCGAAGGCGGCUUGCUGGAGAGUUUGAUCCUGGCUCAGGACGAACGCUGGCGGUAUGCUUAACACAUGCAAGUCGAACGAGAAGGAAGAGCUUGCUCUUCCUGAAAGUGGCGAACGGGUGAGUAACGCGUGGGUAACCUACCCUUUGGAAAGGAAUAGCCUCGGGAAACUGGGAGUAAUGCCUUAUAAGAUACGUUUGUCGCAUGGCAUUUGUAUUAAACGCUCCGGCGCCAUAGGAUGGACCCGCGUCCCAUUAGCUAGUUGGUGAGAUAACAGCUCACCAAGGCCACGAUGGGUAACCGGUCUGAGAGGGCGAACGGUCACACUGGAACUGAGACACGGUCCAGACUCCUACGGGAGGCAGCAGUGGGGAAUAUUGCGCAAUGGGGGCAACCCUGACGCAGCAAUACCGCGUGAGUGAAGAAGGUUUUCGGAUCGUAAAGCUCUGUUAUUGGGGAAGAAAAAAAGACGGUACCCAAGAAGAAAGUUCCGGCUAACUACGUGCCAGCAGCCGCGGUAAUACGUAGGGAACAAGCGUUGUCCGGAUUUACUGGGCGUAAAGGGCACGCAGGCGGUUUUUUAAGUCAGAUGUGAAAGGCCACAGCUCAACUGUGGACAUGCAUUUGAAACUGAAAGACUUGAGUAUUGGAGAGGCAAGUGGAAUUCCUAGUGUAGCGGUGAAAUGCGUAGAUAUUAGGAGGAACACCGGUGGCGAAGGCGGCUUGCUGGA
rnacentral:rRNA from 1 species